CCUUCUGUUGCCAGCCCUGGGAGUGAGCUUGCAGACAGAUCCUUCAGCCUCAGGAAAGCUUCUUGAUGACGCGGUCCUGGCUGACAACCGGACUGCAACCUCAUGAGAUACCCUGAGCCAGAACCACCAGCUAAGCCACUUCUCAAGUCCUGACUCACAGUGCUGCAAGAUAAUAAACGUUUUGGAGUCAUUCGUAACACAGCAAGUGAUAAUGAAGAUACGUGGGUUGAGUGGGGCUUUGCCUAAUAUGCCCUAGUGCCUCCUGAAAGUGAAUGAGGCCAGCUGGGAUGACUAGGCACUGCUCAGAGAGCUGGGGGUUUCUGGCUGUUCCUUUGUUUGCCCGUGGUGGCCAGCAUGUUUGCAGUUGGGAGGAUUCUUCACCAGUCUAACACAUGCCUCAGUUUUCUAGGUGAGAAACCCAGACAAGGCUGGCACUGCACAGAGAUGGAACCUGAUGAAACGGCCCCAUUUGAGCGCCUGCUGUAUCGCGUUGGCUCUGCUUCCUGCAGCUGUGCUCCAAGAUGAGCCUUUCAGACAUCGCUCCCUAAUAGCUCCAUCUCCCCCAGUCCAGGAGGAUGCGCAUUCCUCUCCUCAUUCACAUGCACCACUUCAAGCCAUCUGCACGCUCUACAGGGGACUUGCCGCCUAACAUCCUAAUGUGCAACCCCAUCCAAAUCCUCUGCUGGAAUCUCACUAUUUGCACCACUUACGCUCCUGGAGCGUGAAACAGAAGGGCCAGUCCUCUUGUCUCUUUAUUCUAAGUGUUUAAUACAGAUUCCAUGGACUUGGUCCAUAACAAUAUGAGUGUGGUCUUACAUCAGUCCUUUUACUAAUUUCUCAUCAUCUCCCUCAUCCUUGUCCUUUAGUGAUUGUUCCAGACCUUCUCUUCUUAUCCUCAUACUCUCCUCUUUGGUAUAGUAGUGAGUAAAAGAAAGAAAGAAAAAAAAGGUCCUAGUGUGACUCAUAUCUUCAUGGUUUAUUUACUACCUGGAGGAUUUUUGAGGCUAUGAACAUUGUUUUAUUUUUUGCUGUAUCCCCAGCACCUAGCACAGAUAUGUGUGUGUAUCAGGGCCUGUAUGUAUAAGCUCUCCGAUGCUGCUAUAACAUGUAGUUCCCCAGUCAAAACUAAGUAUUAUUAAAGCAGCAUUUUGGACAGGGUUUAAAUUACCUGGCCCUUGACUUUGGGAAUUGGAAUUUUGUCUACUGCAGUCGCUUGGGGGACCUUCCAGUAGAGAUUUAUAAUUAAAAUGAUAUCAUCCAGUAAGGCUUUUACCACAGGGCUUCUAAAAACAAUAAAAGGAUUGUCUGAGGCAGAAUCUGCACUGUGGAAUGAGAAUUAUAUAUGGUUUACUAUAAAGUAAACUUAGGCAUAAUUAUAUGUUGUGAACUACAAACGCACAGUGGGAUUCUGAGAUUAAUUUCCAAUCACUCCUCACCACGGAUUGGUGAAAAUCCCAGCCAAGUGUGGUGAAGGAAGUGUCUCUGUUUCUGCCCGGUUUGGAGGUAUUGUCUGUGCAUUCGUUGCUGGUCUCAUAUCCCAACUUCCAGCUGCUGCUGCUCCACAUCAGUCACUGCAGAGAUGUUCAGUUUUUCAUGCCAGGAUUGCUCUGUCAGGAUUUGUGUUAGUAAUUGCAGAGACUUCGUAGGUUCUGUUUGCAAUCAUACGUAACUCAGAUUUUAAAUUAAAAAGGUAAAAAUGGAAUAAUUUGGAAAAACAUUCACAGAAUAUCAGAGUUAAAAGAAGAUAUUUAACACCAUCAAGACCAGGAACAGCAAAUAGUUUUCUGUCCUAGCUGCCAGCCCUAUCAACACCGUGUCUAGGCCUUGCCCGUGAGAAUGCAGUGAUCAUCUGGUGACGCUGGCCACAAGCAAGGGAGGAGGGGCAGCGUGGCCUGAACCGCAUACUUGCCCUCCUUGCAGAAAGGCAGGGAUGUCCCAUGGAUGAAGGGAGGGCAGCAAUCAUGUUGAAAGUUUUUUAGGAAAAUGGAAACUUAGUGGCAGAAAUAGUGUUUCUUUUACUAUCAAUUGACAUUCAAAAUCACUUUCAAACCAACAAGGCUAGUAGCAAAUUGAAAAAUAGGAGUGAGAAUGCCUGCCCCAGACAUGGAUGGUGUGGGGCAAAACAGGGGUAGAUCCAAAUGAAACAAUCAACUGCGACUCAAGCUGAUUUCCAGCCGGCGAGUGUCAGCAGGCACAACGGUAGGGGGUUGGGGAGAAACCAUCCGUCCACCUCCUGCCUUGGACCAGGUGCAGCGAACUUUAUGUACCAGAUAUGUUACAAGAAUCUGGCUCUAAACAAAUUUCUGCAAGCCCUCUCUCAACCUCAGCAGGAGGGAAGUUGCCACUCCCUGACAGCAAAUCAAACUGGAUCUUGGAACACAAAAUGUUGGAGACGUUUAAAAAAUUGUAAUUGAAAAAAUUGAAAUUUAGGCCAGGCGCAGUGGCUCAGGCCUAUAAUCCUAGCACUUUGGGAGGCCAAGGGCUGAUCACUUGAGGUCAGGAGUUUGAGGCCAGCCUAGCCAACAUGGUGAAACCCUGUCUUUACUAAAAAUACAAAAUUUAGCCAGGCAUGGUGGCACACGCCUGUAGUCCCAGCUACUUGGGAACCUGAGGCAGGAGAAUCGCUUGAACCUGGGAGUCGGAGAUUGUAGUGAGCCGCGAUUGCACCACUGCACUCCAGCCUGCG
rnacentral:lncRNA from 1 species